rnacentral:lncRNA from 1 species
GGAGGAUAUGAAAAUAGUUGCGACGGGUGUAUGUUGCCAAUCUCGGAUCCGUUUUACUACUGUUCAGAAUGUGCUUUUUUUCUUCAUAAAGCGUGUGCCGAGUUACCUAAGAUGAAGAAUGUUUGGUAUCAUGAUUGCAAAGAGCCUCUAGCCCUUAUUUCUGACAAAGCUUUUUAUUGUCGACGAUGUUGGGGCAUAUCUAAUGCCUUUGGUUAUGAAUGUUGUGGAUGUGAGGAAAAAAUAUGUCUCCGAUGUGUGAUUGCUCUUACUCCUGGUGCUCGAACUUGUUUGAAACAUGAACACCCCAUCUUUUACUACACAAAGCACAAUGGGAAAUGCAAUGCUUGUGGUAGGACUACACAGUCGGCAUUCUGUUGUAAGGAUUGCAAUUUUGUGCUACAUCUUCGUUGUUUUUCACUUCCAAUUAUAGCUCGUCACAAAUGCGAUGAGCAUCUUCUUUCACUCACUGAUCAUGAUGAUAACUGUUAUUCAGAAAAUCAUUAUUGUGAUAUCUGUGAAGAAAGUCGAGAUCCAAAUCAUUGGUUUUAUAAUUGUUCAACAUGUGAUACUUCUGCUCAUGUUAAUUGUGUUCUUGGACCAUAUCCAUUCCUCAAACUCGGGAGCAUUCAUGAAGGAAAUGAUCAUCCACACCCACUCACCAUUGUGAAGAAGAAGUAUUACUACCCAGAUUGUGAUAAAUGUGGUAGGGCUUGUGUAGAUGUGGCUCUUGAAUGCUCAAAGUCGGAGUGCAAAUAUAUUGUCCACUGGGAUUGUGUGGUACCCUAUAGUCUACGGAGUUUUUGGGGGCUGUUCGAGUAGUAAUUCAGAUGUAAUCAUAUUUGAAAUCUGCCACUUCAUUUGCAGGAAAACUCAAGAAUGGAAAACAGGGUUUGAUCUUUGUCAUGUUACUUGUGAUAGUAGUUAUUGUUGUAACUGUAAUUUGGUUUUUUCGACUUUUUAAGUUAUAAAUAAAUGUCAUGUAAAAAUCUGAGCUGAAACUUGUGAGGUUUGAUUGUUGAUUUUAGAAUUUCUUAUAAUUUGGGAGUGUGAUUGUGCGUCUGUAACAGAUAAACUGAAAUUACUACAGUUCCAAAUAAAAUUGAAGGAUUAGUGUAUUCUUUUUUCCAUAAAAAAUAUAUAUUAAGACAAAAAAGAAAAUGCAAAGCCGAGAAAGGUCAUCAUCCACACAAUUUCACAACAGCUCAAACCAGUAAUCAAUGGAAGGAGUGAUUAUGGCCCAAACACUGCAAUAGCUUAACCAAGAAUGACAAUAAACAUGGAUCCCAUCUGCCCGCUUCGACUUUGGGAUUCAACAUGUGAUACUUCUGCUCAUGUUUGUUGUGUUCUUGGAAAUUAUUUAUUCCUCAAACUCAAGAGCCUUUAUGAAGAAAAUGAUCAUCCACACCCACUCACCAUUGUGAAGAAGAAGUAUUACUACUCAGAUUGUGAUAAAUGCGGUGAGCCUUGUGUAGAUGUGGCUCUUGAAUGCUCAAAGUCGGAGUGCAAAUAUAUUGUCCACUGGUAUUGUGUAACACCUGUUCAUCUACGGAGUUAUUGGGCGUGGUACAAGUGGUAAUUCAGAUGUAAUCAUAUUUGAAAUCUGCCACUUCAUUUGCAGGAAAACUCAAGGCUGGAAAACAGGGCUACUUGUGAUAUUAGUUAUUGUUGCAACUGUAAUUUGGUUUUUCUGACUUUUUAAGUUUUAAAUAAAUGUCAUGUAAAAAUCUGGAGCUGAAAGUUGUGAGGUUUGACUAUUGAUUGUACUUUUUAAGUUUUAGAAUUUCUUGGUUUCCUUAUAUAAGCUUUUUCUGAAAUUAUUUCUCUGUUGCUGCAAUAAAAUUAGGUUUAACGUUUAGCUCAAUGUAUUAGAUAAAGUAAGAAGGACCUGUCGCCUUCAAAAAACCAAACAUGUCUUUUAAUGAUAUAUUUCGCAUAUUAAAAUAUUAUUGCAGAAAUUGAUUAAAAAACUGAUUAAACAAACUUUGGGAUUCCAUUCCCCACACCUAAUGUUUUAGCUAUUUUUCCAUCUCUUUUUCACUCUCUUAUAUCACAACCUCGUAUCUAAUUUCCUUGCUUGUCUUGUCUUGUCUGGGAUGGGGUUGGAGUUUAGAGAAGUUGAGAGAACAAAAUACAGAGAAAACAAAGAAAAAUACUCAGCAGAAAUUUUUUGACUGCUAUCAAAUUUUCAUUCAACAAGAAAUACAAUAUAUAUACACGGGUGUAGUGGUUACAAGAAAGUCAACAAACCUCACUAAUACACUUUGAAAAUACAAAUACAUAGCUUGUACAUAAACAUCAAAUCAUCACUAAUUCUGCUUAUCUAACAAGUGACCUUAGCAAGCAGACUAAUACAAAAAUCAUCAGCAGCAUAUGCGAACCUUUCUUCAAAUACAUCAAGUGGUUCGCCAACAACACAUAAGCCCACACUCUGAUGAGCUCGCUACUAGACUGAGCUUGCAGCUUUGGUGGAGCUUGCAGCUUUGGUGAGCUCACAAUUUCAUAGGAAGAGUUCGCCACUACAGAAAUGACCACUUCGCAACACUCCUCCUUGGCCAUAAUGCUGUGAACUCCAAUAUCUUAUCUUAGCCUCUAUAACCUCAUUCUUCCAAGAGGUUUUGUGAGAAUAUUAGCAAGUUGGACAUAUGAACUACAAUGAACCAGUUUCACCUCAUUCGAUUGCUCAACUUCUCUAGAAAGUCCUAGGUCUUAGGUAACAUUACUUGUAGGUCGUAGGACUUUUAUAGUAAGUGCAUUGGGCUCAUCGAGUUCCCAACAAAAACCAAGACAGCAAAGAAAUCUAACAGGCCUGGUCACAGAUGAGCUAUAGUGAUAAUUGAUUUAAUGUUGAUCCUACUAAUAUGAAUCCAUAUCCGACUAACCUAGUUUGACCAUAAAAAUUAACAAUUUAAAUCAGAAAUAACAAUAACACAAAAAGAUUUAAACCAGUCCGAAUCCCAAACCCAAGAUUCUUCAAAUUCUCAAAAUUAAAAUAUUCGAAUUAUUUUGAUUCGGGUUAGUUUCACGUUCAAAUCAAUUUUAAUUUCAGAUCAUUUCAAAAUUGAUCAUUUUAGACUAAUAUUGAAUGGUGUUGGGUUAUUUUUUUAGUCAAAUCGGGUUUUGAAAUUUUUGAAUCAUUUUGGUUCGGGUUAGUUUCAAGUUCAAAUCAUUUUAGGUUCAAGUCAUUGGUCUCGGAUAAUUCCGGGCUCAUAUUGAACGAUGUUGGAUAACUUUUUAGUCAAAUCGAGAUUAAAAUUUCUAAAUCAUUUUGGUUCAGGUUAGGUUCAAGUUAGUUUCAGGUUCAAAUCAAUUUCGGAUUUGAUCAUUUUGGGCUCAUAUUGAAUGGUGUUGGAUUAUCUUUUUUUGUCAAAUCAGGUUUUAAAUUUUCCAGAUCAUUUUGAUUCCAGUUAGUUUCAAGUUUAAAUCAAUUUUGAUUUCAGAUUUGAUCAUUUCAAGUUCAUAUAGAAUGGUGUUGGAUUAUUUUUUAAUCAAAUCGGGUUUUAAGAUUUUCAGAUCAUUUUCGUUCGAGUUAAUUCCCGGUUCAAAUCAAAUUCGAUUUCAGUUCAUUUUGAGCUCAUAUUUAACCGUGUUGGAUUAAUUUUUUUAAUCAAAUCAAACCAUAUAUAAUUUGUAUUCAAUUUGAUAAAAUCGAAUUUUUAAAUUCAAAUCAAAUUUAACCUAUCACACCAAUCACAAUUUUUUUAAAAAUAAAUAACUGAACCGAAUUGAAAUCAACCCCAAAUAUCUCUCCUAUAAAUUACUAGCCACUUUGUAAAUCUAGAUCUCUCUCCAUAGUAUUCAUUACCAAGGAAAAUGGCGACGGGUGGCAUGGAUGAAGCAAGCAACAUGAAGGUGGUACUGAAACACUAUGUAUCUGGUUCACCACAAGAAACCGAUAUGCAUUUGACAGCCGGAACCAUCAAACUCAAAGUACCAAAGGAUUCUAAUUCCAUCAUCCUCAAGAAUCUUUAUCUCUCAUGCGAUCCCUACAUGAUCUUCAAAAUGAUGAAGCUCGAACGACAAUUAACAGAUCCUUACGUCCUCGGUUCGGUAAUUUUAUUCACUUCCUUUCAUCUUCAUCAUCGUUAUCGUAAUCAAGUUUUAUUGUGUUUUGAUAUGCUUUUUUGUUUACCGUAUUGAAAAAAUCAAAAAUUUGAUAUUUGAAUUUCAACAUCCGUUAAAAUGAACCAUUGGAUGAUCUUAAAAAAGUGAAAUGUGAUUUGAUUUUUGUUUGAAUUUAGCCUACAAAUUCUCAACUACAUUAUCAAAGAUCCGAGAUUGUUUCAGUAAGUGUAGAAACUAAUUAAGCCUCAUAAAUUUCUAUCACCUUUUCAUUAUUAGCGAUGGAUAUUUAUAACAUUGCGUCGAGUAUCGAUUAUUUGGAAUAUAGAAAAUAAAUGCUGGAAGAGCUUUCAGAAUAAUUUAGAGUCCAAUGAGGGGGCACGCAGGGGCUCUCCCAUCCCUAAAAUAAGAAAUUGUUGCUUUAGACUCCUCAAAUUUAUAAAAUCGUAAGUUAAUAUAUAGUUUGGCCCUCCAAAAAUGCUAGAAUUUUGGUUUAUUUCUAUGUGAAACUUCAUUUUAACUCUUAUAAAUAUAUUUAACUUAACUUCGGCCUCUUAAAGCAGACACUAAUUAAAUUACUUUUAGACUCCUUGGAAAUUUAUAAAAUUAUAAAUUAAUAUAGUGAUAAUUUUAUCUUUUAACAGCAACGUGACUAGCACAACUCGAACCGAAGACACACCUGGGACGAUGAACACUUUAUCCAUCAGGCCAACACACAAUAUUCUUUUUACACUAGGUUCUUUAAUUUCAUUGCAAUAAGUGAACCAAAUAAUAACACUUCAUCAAAUUUUUUUAAAAUUAAAUUUAUUUAACUUCAUUUUUAAUGAUAUGUAAUCAUCGAUAGCGCCGGUAUGCAUAUUAUUAGUAAUUUGGAUACACAGACUAAUUUUAGCUCGAAUUUGCAGCCUAUAACUGGAUAUGGAGUGGCAAAAGUUUUGGAUUCAGCACAUCCUGGCUUUGCAAAGGAUGAUUUGGUGUGGGGAAUAACUGGUUGGGAAGAGUAUAGUCUAAUUUCAGACCCUAAAAAUUUCUUUAAAAUCCAACACACCGAUGUACCUCUUUCCUACUAUGCUGGAAUUCUUGGUAACUAUCAAUUCUCUUCUAUCUUAGGUUAAGGUUGUUCGGGAUUGAAUUGUUCUCUUCUAUCUAUAUACGUGUUAUAAUGUCAUUAGUUAGUCAAAAUACUUAAAAUCAUUAAUUGUUCAUGUUAAAUCGUUGAUAUUGAUUUUUCCUUAACAAUAAUCCUUCCAACAAAUAAAAGGUUCACGAUAGUAUGAUGAGUUGGAGGGGGUGUUUUUAAGAAGAGAAAAAGCCAUGUCAGCAACAUUUUAAUCAGAAUAGAUAAGUAUUUGACCUAAUCAAUGACACCAAAAAAUAGAAAUGCUAAACUGUGUUAAAUUAAAGUAUGAGGGUUAAAUUUACAAUUUGAGCAUAGUAGAAGGAUCAAAACCAUAAUUUGACCCAAAUCAUGGAAUGAAAUGGUUAAAUUCUACUAUUAGUCCCUAUACUUUGUUAAAGUUAUGAAUUUACUCCUUAUAUACUUUUAUUUGAUCAAUUUUAGUUCCAAUGCUUUUCAAAUUUGAAACUUUAGUCUUGACCCAAACAAUAGUAGUUAAAUUCGUUUAGUUAAAUUCAAUUACUAGUUCUAUACUAUAUGUGUGCAGUUGUAGAUUUAGUUCAUUUUUUCUAAUUGGAUCAUUCCAAGUCUAUAUAUUUUUCGAAUUUGAAAUUUCAAUCUUGACACAAAUGACAAUCAUUAAUCUAUUAACUAGAUUUUUAGUGAGUAAUAUUUGAAAAUAAUAAGCUGAUAUAGCAUUACACAUAUGAUAAUAAGUUUGGUACAUCAGAUUUUAAAAAUAGCAGAACUUAAUAAAAAAAUGUAACCAAAGGAAAUCUAAGAACAUAUAAGAACAAAUGCAUAAAAUAGGGAAUUGAUAUAUAAUAAAAUAUGUUACUUAGACUCCAUGUGAGUGUUGAAUACGGUUAUGUAAUAUCGAUAAUAAAUGUAAGACGGUUAAUAGGUAUGCCUGGGAUAACAGCAUAUAUUGGUUUCUAUGAGCUUUGUGCUCCAAAGAAAGGAGACUAUGUGUUUGUUUCAGCAGCAUGUGGUGCAGUUGGUCAGCUAGUGGGGCAAUUUGCCAAGCUCCAUGGUUGCCAUGUUGUUGGAAGUGCUGGUAGCCCAGAGAAGGUAGGCCCUUUGCAUGCUAUUCCUAUUCUUUUUAGGGCUAAUAUACUAUUUGAAUAAAAGCAUUGACUAGCUAAUUGAGUUUACCUCUGUUUAGGGUUUAGAGGAAGGAGAAAUGGAGGAGUCCAACAAUUAUGGCCACCAACAUCCCCUGCUUCUUAUCUUGAAUCAAGACCAGCUGAUCCACAAUCAAAGUGGUGUAACUCAUUGCUCCAGGUGCGGGGAGGAGGUGUCUGCUCCAUGUUUUUGCUGUGUGGAGCACUGUGGGUUUUAUCUUCACAAGGCAUGUGCCGACGCACCUUUGGAGCUUAAUCAUCCUUUUCAUCCCCAUCAUCCUCUUGUUCUUCUGCAAGAGCCACCAUCUUCUUACUCAGGGUGUGUUUGCGAUUUCUGUGAUGAACCAUGUACGAAUUUCAUUUAUCACUGCUCUUGCGCAUUGGACUUUCAUAUUAAAUGUGCUUUGUUAAUAUUUAAUAUUGCUGAGAAUAAUUUGAAAGAGCUUGAGCAUGUUGCCCUUCAAGAUGAAGAACUUGCAGAUGAAAAUAAGUGCUUUGGGUGUUGGGAACCAUUAGCAAAGUAUACACACUUUUCUCCCGACUGUGGAUUUAAUUUACAUGACAAAUGCGCCGAGCUUCCUUUCAAACUGAAUCUUGAGUGCCAUCGCGAACAUCCUCUUGUUCUACAAUUUAAUAGCGAAAGGCUCUCUUGCAAGAUAUGCUGCCUGGUGAGAACGCGAAGAGGAUUUGUUUAUGGUUGUUCUCCUUGUGAGUUUGUUGUUCACAUUGAAUGUGUAUCGCAAUCACCAUUACAAGUUAUUAAGAGUACAAAUCAUGAACAUCCAUUUACCUUGUUUAACGGGCACCAACAUCCCCUGUUUCUUAUGUUGAAUCAAGAGCAGCUGAUGGAUAAUCAAAGGGGUGUAACUGAUUGCUGGAGGUGUGGGGAGAAGGUGUCUGCUCCAUGUUUUUGCUGUGCGGAGCACUGUGGGUUUUAGCUUCAUAAGGUAUGUGCCGAGGCACCUUUGGAGCUUAAUCACCCUUUUCAUCUCAACCAUCCUCUUCUUAUGCAAAAUGCACCUUAUUCAUCCGGAAUGUACAUUUGCAAUUUUUGCAAUAAAUCUGGUCACAAGUCUGUUUAUCGCUGCUCUUCUUGUGAAUUGGACUUUCAUAUUAAAUGUGCUUUGUUUACAUUUAAUAUUGCUGAGAAUAAUUUGAAAGAGCUUGACCAUGUUGCCCUUCAAGUUGAAGAACUCCCACUGAAAAUGGUGAUGAAAAACUUAAAGAUGUUUCUAAGUGCUUUGGGUGCCGGGAACCAUUAGCAAAUUAUACACACUUUUCUCCUUGCCGUGGAUUUAACUUACAUGAGAAAUGCACUGAGAUUCCUUUCAAAUUGAAUCAUGUGUGGCAUCGCAAGCAUCCUCUUGUCCUACAAUUUAAUAGCGAACGCCUCUCUUGCAAGAUAUGCUGCCAGGUAACAAUGCGAAGAGGAUUUGUUUAUGGUUGUUCUCCUUGUAAGUUUGUUGUUCACAUUGAAUGUGCAUCGCAAUCACCAUUACAAGUUAUUAAUAGUACAAAUCAUGAACAUCCAUUCACCUUGUUGUUAAGACAAGUUCCAUUCACAUGUGAUGGGUGUGGCACUGAAGGAAAUCAUGUUGCCUAUACAUGUGGUACAUGCAACAUUAUAAUCCAUAAAAAUUGCAUUUCAUUGCCUCGCAUUAUCAAAAGUAAGUGGCAUGACCAUCGCCUUCUUCACACAUAUUUCCAUCACAUAGAAGAUUUUAGGGUUUUGAAUUGCCUAAGAUGCCAUGAUGAAGUCAAUACAGAGCACGGUAGUUACUAUUGUUCAAAGUGCAAUGGUAUAUUCCAUGUGAAGUGUGUAAUGAAGGAUAAAGAUUCAUAUGAAAUAGUAGAAAAUGAAGAUGAGAUUGAGAUGCCCAUUGAAAGUUUCAUCAUUGUUAUUGAGAGCAACGAUGCUGGAGAAGCUACAAAAAUAAAGCAUUUCAAGCAUAUGCAUAAUCUAAUGUUAGGUCCCUUUGUUGGAGGAUAUGAAAAUAGUUGCGACGGGUGUAUGUUGCCAAUCUCGGAUCCGUUUUACUACUGCUCAGAAUGUGCUUUUUUUCUUCAUAAAGCGUGUGCUGAGUUACCUAAGAUGAAGAAUGUUUGGCAUCAUGAUUGCAAAGAGCCUCUAGCCCUUAUUUCUGACGAAGCUUUUCAGUGUCAACGAUGUUGGUACAUAUCU